UAGAAAAACGCGGGAAACCUUUGAAUUUGGCGGGCGCGGUUUUUGUUUGAAUUUGUUGAAAAAUAUUUUUUUUUAAUCUAUUAAGUGAUCAGAAUAGUUAAAACUUGUAUAUAUUUGUAAUUUUUAUUAUUAUUUAAAUUUUUUUGUAUUUUAUUCUUUUUUUCUUCGAGUUGGGGUAAGUUUUUUAUAUUUAUAUGAACGAGCCUCCGGACCCGGGGGGCACAGCGCCCCCCGCGGUUGCAUUUGUCACAAUCUCCAACGAAUCCGGAAUGGAUUCUGACUGCUCUUUGGUGUCUAAAAGGAAGCUGAAGCGUAACCAGCUCCACAAAAUUUGUAAAAAUUGUAACAAAAGGAAAAGAAAAAAUAAUACAGAAACAUUUAAACAAUCGGACUGUCAAUGCAAAGACGAAUUUACUGAGAGCACUAUUGAUUUGCCUGCACCUGGUCCUUGCACUGAUACAUCUUCAAAGCCCGUUCCUCCCACUGAUAUGUCUCAUAAAGCCUCCACACAAAUUGGUAGGGCUAGUUAUGAUGCCAAUGACCACGGCCCGUUUGUGGUACACGUGCAGAAAAUACAGUCUGCUGAUGAUGAUGGUACAACAUUACACCCAGUUGUGUUUGGCAGAUUUUUAAAAAAAAAUUUAUUCAAAAAUAUUGUUAAUGGAAGUUUGAAACGUAUUGGCCGAAAUAAAAUGACACUUUCUUUUAAUAAUUAUACAGACGCUAACAGCUUUGUCACUUCAAACUGCUUAGCUACAAACAACAUGAAGGCUUUUAUUCCAACUUUUAACAUUACGAGGAUGGGUUUAGUUAGGGGAGUCCCAACUGAGUGGUCCCCUGAAGAUAUUAUGCAGAACACUAAUGUACCCAUUGGGUGUGGGGAAAUUCUGAAAAUUAGAAGACUAAACUAUAAAGUCAUGAUAAACAACACACCCACAUGGAAACCUUCGCAAACAGUCGUGUUUACAUUUGAUGGACAAGUUUUGCCCAAACGUGUAUUUAUGUGUUAUAAUUCUAUGCCUGUUAAAUUGUAUAUAUACCCAACCAUCCAGUGCUUUAAUUGUUGCCGCUUUGGGCACACCAAGGUCCAAUGUAGGUCAAAGCCCAGGUGCUUCAAGUGUGGUCAGGGCCACACUGGAGAUACUUGUAAUGUGGAGGAAGACUGUGUAUCUUGCUGCUUAUGUUCUGGGCUGCACUUUGCUUCGAGCAAAAAGUGUCCAGAGUACGUGAGACAAACAGAUAUUAAAGUAACAAUGGCAGAGAAUAGCUUAUCCUAUAUUGAAGCGUCAAAAUUACAUCCCCCCAUUUCUAAAUCAUUUGCUGAUAUUGUAUCCUCUCUCCCAACUAAAUCUGUUCCUGGUGGAAAUACAGUAUUGCCUGGUUCACCAUCCUCACGUACAAUAUCUUAUAAAAAAACAGUCUUCACUAAACCCAGAACUCCUCCUCAACACAGUAAAGGUUUUGAUCAUGUAGCACAUGAGUCUCUUGUAAGGGACUACAAUAUGCCAGAGCCUUCUAAUGGAUGUGCAUUACCAUCCUCGUCUAAUGCAAAUUCACAACAGACAAUAGCAGAGUUAAUUACUAUAUUGAUCAAAUUACUUUCUGAACCCAAUUUAUCUAUACCGUCCCACGCUGCUAAUUUAAUUCGUACUUAUACUAAUAUUAAUAAUGGCCAACAUGGACAAGUUAGUUCAAUGGAAUUGCCGCAGUAUUAUAAACAAAAAGCAUGAAAUUAUACAUAUUAUAAAUACUUUUAAUCCUUUUAUAUUUUCUCUAUCUGAAACCUGGCUAAAGCCAGAUUUUGUAUUCAAAAUCCCUGGUUAUUCGUGCUUAAGAGAAGACAGGGCUGAUGGAUAUGGUGGUGUAUGCCUACUCAUCAGAAACUCUAGCACCUUUUCUUCCUUCCCUCUCCCUUCACAUAGUAACUGCUUUUCUGUCAUUGCAGCUAUUGUUGAUGGUAUCUGUUUUGUCUCUAUCUAUGUCCCUCAUCCCUCCUUGCAAAUCUUCAAUGAAAUUAAAAACUUAAUUUCAGUUCUUCCUCGGCCUUUCAUGAUUCUGGGUGAUUUCAACUCUCAUCACACAUCUUGGGGUAGUUCAGUAUCUAAUAGUUAUGGUUAUGAAUUAUUAGAUAUCUUAGACAUGUAUAGCCUGUGCAUUUUAAACUCGGGUUCUCCUACUCGCCUCACAAAGCCUGGUGAAGUAAUUAGUGCCAUUGACCUGUCCAUUUGUACUCCCCAGUUAGCAUCUUCUCUAUCUUGGUCUACUUUGUGUUCCACUUAUAAUAGUGAUCACUAUCCCAUAAUCAUUUCAUUUCCCUGUAAAAAAAAGGAUACAAUGUGUAUUCAAAACUCUCGCCUCAAACACAAAAUCAUAGACUCUAAAUGGAGUCAAUACACAUUAUUAAUAGAAGAGAAAAUUAAUAAUUGCUCAGAAGUUAAUGUCAUAGAUAAUAAUUAUUUCAAAGCUAUUUUGUUAGAAUCGGCUGAUAAUGUUUUUCCAAAGAAAAAGCCGCGUAGUAAUAAGUUGUCAUCUCCACCGUGGUGGGAUGAAGAAUGUACCAAUGCUAUAAAGAAACGCAAGGCAGCAGAGCGUAAUUAUCGCAAUAAUAUGUCUAUGAAAAACUACGAGGCAUUAAUGACUAUAAUGAAAGAGGUUAGAAAACUAUUUAAAAAAAAGAAAUUUGACGGGUGGAGGAAAUUUUGUAGCACUAUAUCACCUGAAACACAUGCUACUGUCAUAUGGCGAAAUAUCAAAAGAUUUAGAUCAGCUGUCAAUCCUUCUAACGCAUUGUUGCUGCCUAUAGAAUUAGCAGAUCAAUUCCUUGAUCGUUUGGCUCCUCCUUCUGCUCCACUCAACGAUCCUAUCCUGUCUUAUAAGCAAUAUAACUCUGAUGCCCCUUCUUCUCUAAAUCUAACUUUUACGUUAGUGGAGUUAAAAGGUGUAUUAAAUCACGUCAAAGACAGUGCUCCAGGGGAAGAUGGGAUUCCAUAUUCCUUUUUGUCUCACCUUGGCGAAAAAGGAUUAAAUUACUUUUUAAAUUUAAUAAAUAAAAUUUUACUGACAGGUGACAUUCCACCGUCAUGGCGAAGUCAAAUAGUAUUGCCAUUUUUAAAGCCGUCUAAGGUACAAUCUGAUAUCAAAUCAUAUCGUCCGAUAGUUUUGUCAUCGGUGAUCACAAAAGUUGUUGAACAUUUAAUUAAAAAUCGGCUUGAAUGGUAUAUAGAAAAUAACGAAUAUCUGUCCCAAACUCAGUUUGGAUUUCGAAAAGGUAAAAGUGUGGGGGACAAUUUAGGCAUAUUAGUUACGGAUAUUCGUAAUGCUUUCUCAGAUAAAAAGUCAGUAGUUGCUGCUUUUUUGGAUAUUAAUUCGGCUUAUGAUAACGUUCUAUUACAUAUUCUAAAAAGUAAAUUAGAUAAAUUAAAGGUUCCCUAUUUUUUAACUAAUUCCAUUGUAAAUCUUCUUUCGGAGAGGAAAAUUAUUUUAGAUGUUGGCGGCCCUUAUAAGCCUAGUAGGCUGGUAUGGAGAGGUUUGCCACAGGGGUCUGUUCUGAGUCCUUUAUUGUACAAUAUUUAUACAUAUGAUCUAGAAGGUUCAGUCGGAGAUUCAGCAAGUUUAUUACAGUAUGCCGAUGACUUGGUUAUUUAUGCCUCUGAUAUGUCUGUAAGUACUGCUGAACGAUAUGUUUCCUCCUCUUUAUCUUUGCUAAAAAUCUGGAUGGAUGCAAAUGGCCUUGAUCUGUCUCCCUCAAAAAGUACUGUUGUACUUUUCACCAAAUCCCGUACUCCUUGCUCACUUAAUAUAACAUAUGAUGGGGAUAUAUUACCUAUUAGGAAUCAAGUUAAGUUCUUAGGAGCUAUUCUUGAUUCUAAACUAACGGGUCAACCACACUGCGAAUUUGUGGUUAGUAAAUGUGAGCGAAACUUGAACAUGCUGAGAUGUCUCGGUGGGGUUUGGUGGGGUGCUCACCCGGCUACACUGAGGUUGGUGUAUAAUGCUGUCAUUAGAAGUGUACUGGAUUUUGGGACCUUUUUCUUAGACCCAGGUAAUGUGGCUGGCUUUAGAAAACUAGAUCUCAUACAGUCUAGGGCUUUGAGGAUUGUUUCUGGUGCCAUGAAAUCGAGUCCGGUUAAUGCUCUGCAAAUAGAAUGUUGUGACCCUCCUUUAAACUUAAGACGUCAAUAUCUGUCCGAUAGAUUCAUUUUUAGAAUUGUUCAGUUCCAUAAUCAUCCCCUCAUUUCGAAACUAGAGUUUCUUUCUAAAAAAGUACCCUCUUCACAUAAACCUUUACCUUGUCUGUUAAAAAGUUUCCUGAAAUUCAAACAAUUACAAGCCCCAACUCAUUCUUUUCAGGUGCUUCCUUUAUUUGGCGCUUCUUAUGAUUCUCUCUUACUUUCUCCAGUGAUUUGCUUUUCUCUUGGCAUUGAAAAAUCUGAUUUUAAUGCCAAUGAAAAUUUUAAUUGCAAUGUCAAUAGUAAAUGGCCUAACUGGCAUCAAAUUUAUACAGAUGCAUCUAAACACUCCAGUGGGUGUGUUGGUGUUGGAGUGUAUCACAAACAGUACAACAUAGUUCAGAAAAUUAAAUUACCUCCGGAAUCAUCGGUCUUUACCGGUGAAUGUUUUGGACUAUUAAAAGCUCUUGAAUAUGUGCUGUCUUUCAAACUAAAAAAAACCGUUGUAUUUACUGAUUCCUUAAGUGCAUUACAGAGCUUAGCAAAAUUUUCACUAAAACUUAACCCUUUUUUUCAUGUAAUAUUUGAAUGUAAGAGAAAGCUGUUGCACUGCCAAUCACACAACUAUUUAGUAUCAUUUUGUUGGGUACCUAGUCACUGUGGCAUAUCUGGAAAUGUGAAAGCUGACAGUUUGGCCAACAGUGCUACUGUGACCGGUGACGUAUACCCGUACAAGAAUUUUGGCCAUGAUCUUGCUGCUUUGCCCGGCAUAUGCCUCCACAAAUCGUGGAAUAUGUGUUGGGAAGAGAGCGGCCGGAUUAAGGGUCGUUUCUUGUAUGCUAUACAGUCUUCCGUUCCCAGGAAGCCAUGGUUUGCCAAAUUGUCGUUUGGUAAAGCCGCCACUUCUACUAUAAUUCGUAUGCGUCUGGGACAUAACAGCCUUCCAGUUCAUUUGCACAAACUUGGUAUCGUAACUAGUACCGCCUUUUCCUUCGUUUUUUAUUAUUUAUAAACUGUAAAUAAAUAAAACGGCGAAUUAUAAAAACGUUAUUACUUGACGCUGGCUAAUGCACAAAACGUGCCAGAGCCAAAAAUAAAGAAGAAGAAGAAGAAGAAUAAAGUAGGUAGUGAUUUGAAAUUUGAUAAUUGUAAUACAAACAUGGCAUCCAAAGAAGGAGGUGAAAAGUCAAAAACAUUGUUUUUAGGGCAGCCAAGUAACAGGAGAUAAUAAAGAAAA